GAAAGUACAUCAUGACAGAGCACACCAUCAUGGCCAGCCCGAGGAGUAUGGCCCGGUCUUCUCCAGCUUUUAGGGCUGUAACUGUUUUCCUUUUGUCCAGUAGAUCGUGAUCCCUGAUUUUUUGGUAAAUAUUUCUGAGGCUGGUCAAAAUCUCCUGUGUUUUCUGCUACAGUUCUUUUGAAUCAUCCAGGCAGCACCCGAAGCAUGUGAACCGCACACCUCUGAGCCCUGGCACCACCAUAACAUGGGCAUAGUAGUACACGUGGAGGAAGUUCCUCUUCUACUGUCUGCAAAAUGGCAGGUCUCUGUCUGAGCACAGUACCUGCUUGCACCAAUCCCAGUUGUGUGGCCGUAAGAGAAGAACAGGAAGCAUAGACCAAGAAAAACAGCAAAAACAUAACUCAUAAAAGAAAUGCAUCUGCAUCAGUAGAAGAAAGUCACCACUUAGGGAUCAUUUAAUGCUCUGGCAGCAGCAACACUAAACUGUGAAGCAGCAACAGCAAUAUCAAAUGGUGCAUUUCUGCCUCGUGACCAGACUUUGCUGUACCGCAAGCUAAUGGACAUGUUGCAGGAGAGAGUGACAUAAAUAACUGUUUUCAUUGGAGCAUCUCAGGAGCUCUGGCUGUACUAACUGACUAAUCCAACUAGCAGAUGACCUUGAAUUUGGGGUUCCUUAUUAUGGCAAGGGGAAAAUGGACAGUGGGCAGCUGGUGUUAAUGUACUGACAAGAGUUUAGGAAGACUGAGGCUAAUGAUGCUUCAUUAAUGAAUUCACCUCUAUUUCUAGCCUUUCUCCUAAAUCUCCCCAGAGCUCAGGGCUGAGCUCUCCACCUAGUUUUCUAGUUGAAUGACAGAGAUAUACAGGCAGUCUGGCUGGGAUCCCAUGGCACAGACAUGUCUAGGACACUCCAUGUCCAAAGGAGGAGGAGAACAGGGCUGCCAGGGACAGCUGAAGCCUUUAUAUGGGGAUGCAGCUUAGCUGUGUGUGGAAUACAGUAGCAUUUGUGUUUGUUUUCAAAGGCAAGAUUUCAUUUAACUUGAAGUUAUCCUUUACAAUUGUUACUUCCCUCUCCCAGUAUAUACAGGAGUAAGAGAGAGAUUCAGACAGGCUGAGAUAUCUAUACCUCUUUGCCACGUGACAAAUCACAGUAUAUUUACACUUCAAAAAUAAAUAUUCCAAAGUAACCUCUAAAUCUUCCAGGUUUCCAUUUCCUCAUGUUUUUUCUUGAGUGCUGUCUUUCUGCAUUUUCAAAAAACUUUCAAGCCUUGCCUUUUAAUGAUGGUUUUCAUCCCUAGGCUGCUUUCUUAAGCUCUUUCCCAAGACCUACCUUCCUAAUGCUAGUCUAAGUAGCCCACACAGCACGGCUGUAGACUUUAUAGUCUUUACUCUUCCUGAUCUUUCUGACUUCAACUUCCUUCUCCACUUUUUCUUUCCUUUCUUUUUCUUUCCCCUCAGGGCCUCUUCCUAUACAUUGCUGUCCCCAAGAUGACUUGUUUCACUUGC